CACGUAGGGGGCGAGCGUUGUCCGGAUUUAUUGGGCGUAAAGAGCUCGUAGGCGGCUCAGUAAGUCGGGUGUGAAAACUCCAGGCUCAACCUGGAGACGCCACCUGAUACUGCUGUGGCUAGAGUCCGGUAGGGGAGCAUGGAAUUCCUGGUGUAGCGGUGAAAUGCGCAGAUAUCAGGAGGAACACCAGUGGCGAAGGCGACUACCUGGCCUGUUCUUGACGCUGAGGCGCGAAAGCUAGGGGAGCAAACGGG
rnacentral:rRNA from 1 species